GCAGGUGUAGUUCAGUGGUAGAACACGACCUUGCCAAGGUUGAAGCGGGGGUUCAAUUCCCCUCACCUGCUCCA
rnacentral:tRNA from 3 species